CCUACGGGUGGCAGCAGUGAGGAAUAUUGGUCAAUGGACGCGAGUCUGAACCAGCCAUGCCGCGUGAAGGAUGACGGCUCUAUGGGUUGUAAACUGCUUUUGUACGAGAGUAAACGCAGGUACGCGUAUCUGUCUGAAAGUAUCGUACGAAUAAGGAUCGGCUAACUCCGUGCCAGCAGCCGCGGUAAUACGGAGGAUUCGAGCGUUAUCCGGAUUUAUUGGGUUUAAAGGGUGCGUAGGCGGUCGGAUAAGUUAGAGGUGAAAUCUCGAGGCUCAACUUCGGAAUUGCCUUUGAUACUGUUCGUCUAGAGAGUAGUUGCGGUAGGCGGAAUGCGUGGUGUAGCGGUGAAAUGCUUAGAGAUCACGCAGAACACCGAUUGCGAAGGCAGCUUACCAAGCUACUUCUGACGUUGAGGCACGAAAGCGUGGGGAGCAAACAGGAUUAGAUACCCCAGUAGUC
rnacentral:rRNA from 1 species